CCUGCCCCCUCACGAACAGAGUGGUGGGUAAAGUGACUCCUCACCCUUCACCCCACCCCGCGGCUACACCUGGAAAAGACUGAUGUGACAGCGACAAUGACAGCACAGCAGAAGCUGAGAGGCAAUCACCAAGCCAAAGCUUGCUGUUUGGAGUGCACACCGGCUGUGUCUGGGCAGGAGUCAAGCAGAAUGAUGCAAAGGCUUUUUGGAGAUUUAUUCCAGCAACACCACUGCUGAGUCAAGAGGGUCUCCCUGAGUUCUGACACACACAUGCUGGUCAUCCAUUUACAGACUAAUGUCUCCUGGCUUUCUCAUCCACUGGUUUUGGAAUCUUUGUAUUUAAAGCUGAAGUAUGUCACUUCUGUGCCAUGAGCAGUUUACAAAGGUAAAAGCAAAAAUAAAGGGCCUCAUUCAGUAAUAAUUCAGUAAUAUAUGUGUAUUUAUGU